GAUCUCUUCCUGGAGAUCCCUUCUUGGUGAAGCUUUUCCCUGUGAGCCUGGAAUCUUCCAAUAUGGAGGGACUGGAGGAAAGUUGAGCAGCAAGCACUGUGCAGACCUCCAAUGUCAAUAGCACUAGGCAAACAGUGUAGCAGGAUAACCAACCUCUGACCUGAAAAUCUAUGCCCUUUCUCACUGUGGCCUGUCUUACUCCAUACCAACAGCCUCUCACCUUGUGGUCCUAGCCUGCAAAUGAAGAGUCUCAGAAGGGUAACCACCUGGGUGACAGCCAUAACAGUUCAUGGGACAGCUCUUGAGAGAGGUGUGGGACCUGCAGUAAGGCCUGAAACUGAUAUUAACUACUUUUCUGUCAUUAAGUGUCACAGCUUUUCUUAAGCUUCUAAGUUAUGCCCUACAUCAAAUAAAAAGGUAAAUCACCACGUACCUUAGUGGGCUUUGGGUCAAGGAAGCUGCCAGCCGCGUGGUUCUUGCUAUCACAAAAUGGGACCCUCUGAUGUUGCUUAUUCCUCAUAUGCUGCUGUAUCCAGUCAAAGCAUACAGAAAACAAGCAUCAGAGUUUCUUAUCUGAUGUUAAUUGUUCAGAUAGUAUUUGUGACACUGUACAGAUGAUGAAGAAUCACAAUGUUCUGGGUGAUCUAUCUUUUCAUUUUACUCUAGACAUAGCUUGGAAGCUUAAGAAAAGCAGUGGUGCCUAGAAUCACACAUAAUGAAUUGCUGAGUGGGGUCACUUUCUUGGGAAAUUUGUGGUUAGUUCAGAUUUCUUCCAGUGCUGGUGGCCUAAGGAGCAGCCAGAACCUUCCUGAAACAGGAUCAAGUAGAAAGUUGCAACCACUGAUCAGCUGAAGAAUUAUUGAGCAUCCAGAUCUGCCUGGAUGUUUGAGGGGGGAAAAAAAUCAGUGGUUCGCAGAUGACUCUCUGAUAGAUGAGCCAUGGUGAACGAGUGUGGCAAUGAAAUGGUGUCUUGGAGAAACUGAAGUGUUUAGGUAGAGGGAAAGAAAAGUUUCUUUUGUCUCAAGAGCAGAAAAAAGUCACCUCACUUGAUGAAGGCUUAAUCCCUGCAGAUGGUCUGAAGCCACAGCAUCUUUGUUCUCUCCAUGCUAGCAUCUGUUGAAAAGUUGUCAUCACUGCUUAUGCCAAAUGCUGGAUGGGGAACAAUUUGUGUAAAUCCUGCUCAAAAUAACAAGCUCGUUAAUAGCUUAUAUUCUCUAUAAGCAGCCAAGGUACACUUAGCCAUGACAGUUUUCUUUCAGUGGACUUUGAGGUAUUAUCAGCUGUGACAGUGUGGAGUGGGUGGAAUGUGGGGAACAAAAGCCCCACACAAAGGAGGCACUUUAGGUCUGGGCUCCUCUGCUUCCUAGAGGCCACACAGUGCUGAGCUACAGUGAGAUUCUUUUCUCUAAUUAAUAUUUCGUUCUCUGGGAGAGUUUUGAAUUAUCCCUUGAGAUAUGUUAAAGGUUUGCACAUUUUCAGGAAGAGAAAGAAGGCUGCUGAACUUGAAUUAAGAAAGUAUGUUGAAAGGAGCUGCUACAGCCUGUAACUUUGGGCAAGGGACACGUAAAACCAUACAGUAUUACUGCACUUUUCAUUGUAUUACUUGUUCUAUGUCCUAUUUCAUGGUCUGCUCCAAUAAAGUCAUGCAUAA